rnacentral:tRNA from 1 species
GGUUCUGUAGUUGACAGUGACAACGUUGAGUUGCAGCCUCGAAGGCGGAGGGGGACUUCCCAGGGCUU